CCUACGGGUGGCAGCAGUGAGGAAUAUUGGUCAAUGGGCGGAAGCCUGAACCAGCCAAGUCGCGUGAGGGAAUAAGGCCCUACGGGUCGUAAACCUCUUUUGCCGGGGAGCAAGGGCGAGGACGUGUCCCGGCCCGGAGAGUACCCGGAGAAUAAGCAUCGGCUAACUCCGUGCCAGCAGCCGCGGUAAUACCGAGGAGGCGAGCUGUAUCCGGAUUUAUUGGGUUUAAAGGGUGCGUAGGCGGGCUUUUACGUCUUCGGUAAAAAUUCGGGGCUCAACCCCGUCCGGCCGUUGAAACUGGGGGCAUUGAGUGGGCGAGAAGAAGGCGGAAUGCGUGGUGUAGCGGUGAAAUGCAUAGAUAUCACGAAGAACCCCGAUUGCGAAGGCAGCCUUCCGGCGCCCUACUGACGGUGAGGCACGAAAGUGCGGGGAUCGAACAGGAUUAGAUACCCGUGUAGUC
rnacentral:rRNA from 1 species